rnacentral:rRNA from 1 species
GGGAUUGCCUCAGUAACGGCGAGUGAAGCGGCAACAGCUCAAAUUUGAAAUCUGGCCCUUUUAGGGUCCGAGUUGUAAUUUGUAGAGAGUGUUUCGGGUGAGACCACGGUCUAAGUCCAUUGGAACAUGGCGUCAUAGAGGGUGAGAAUCCCGUAUGUGACUGUGGAUCGAGCCCAUGUGAAGCCUCUUCGACGAGUCGAGUUGUUUGGGAAUGCAGCUCAAAAUGGGUGGUAAAUUUCAUCUAAAGCUAAAUACUGGCUGGAGACCGAUAGCGCACAAGUAGAGUGAUCGAAAGAUGAAAAGCACUUUGGAAAGAGAGUCAAACAGUACGUGAAAUUGUUGAAAGGGAAGCGCUUGCAACCAGACCUGUCCGUAGGUGAUCAGCCGCUGUUCUCAGUGGUGCACUCGCUCUGCGAUCAGGCCAGCAUCGGUUCGGGCGGCCGGAUAAAGGCCUUGGGAAUGUAGCUUCCUCCGGGGAGUCUUAUAGCCCUCGGUGUAAUGCGGCCAGCCUGGACCGAGGACCGCGCUUCGGCUAGGAUGCUGGCGUAAUGGUUGUAAGCGACCCGUCUUGAAACACGGACCAAGGAGUCUAACAUCUAUGCGAGUGUUUGGGUGUCAAACCCAUGCGCGGAAUGAAAGUGAACGGAGGUGAGAACCCUUAAGGGCGCAUCAUCGACCGAUCCAGAUGUCUUCGGAUGGAUUUGAGUAUGAGCAUAGCUGUUGGGACCCGAAAGAUGGUGAACUAUGCCUGAAUAGGGUGAAGCCAGAGGAAACUCUGGUGGAGGCUCGCAGCGGUUCUGACGUGCAAAUCGAUCGUCAAAUUUGGGUAUAGGGGCGAAAGACUAAUCGAACCAUCUAGUAGCUGGUUCCUGCCGA